AAUAGAAAUAAACAUAUUGACUCUCUCUCCCCUCAGGUGGUGGGCGUGUCUGCGGUGACAGGAAGUGGACUGGACGAGCUGUUCGUGCAGGUCGAGGAAGCUGCAGACGAAUACGAGAGGGAAUAUCGACCAGAAUAUGAAAGACUCCGCAAACAGCUGCUGGACGCUCAGAGCAAGAAGCAGCAGGAUCAGAUGGAGCGACUCAGGAAGGAUCUGGGAGCCGUGGAUAUGAACACACCUAAAACAGGUAGAGGUUAAAACACAUCACACAGA